rnacentral:rRNA from 1 species
CGUAGGGUGCGAGCGUUAAUCGGAAUUACUGGGCGUAAAGCGUGCGCAGGCGGUUUUGUAAGACAGAUGUGAAAUCCCCGGGCUCAACCUGGGACCUGCAUUUGUGACUGCAAGGCUAGAGUACGGUAGAGGGGGAUGGAAUUCCGCGUGUAGCAGUGAAAUGCGUAGAGAUGUGGAGGAACACCAAUGGCGAAGGCAGCCCCCUGGGUCGAUACUGACGCUCAUGCACGAAAGCGUGGGUAGCAAACAGGAUUAGAUACCCUGGUAGUCCACGCCCUAAACGACGUCAACUAGGUGUUGGGAGGGUAAAACCUUUUAGUACCGGAGCUAACGCGUGAAGUUGACCGCCUGGGGAGUACGGCCGCAAGGUUA